rnacentral:rRNA from 1 species
CAAUAAGCGGAGGAAAAGAAACCAACAGGGAUUGCCCCAGUAACGGCGAGUGAAGCGGCAACAGCUCAAAUUUGAAAUCUGGCCCCCAGGGCCCGAGUUGUAAUUUGUAGAGGAUGCUUUUGGUGCGGUGCCUUCCGAGUUCCCUGGAACGGGACGCCAUAGAGGGUGAGAGCCCCGUCUGGUUGGACACCAAGCCUCUGUAAAGCUCCUUCGACGAGUCGAGUAGUUUGGGAAUGCUGCUCUAAAUGGGAGGUAUAUGUCUUCUAAAGCUAAAUACCGGCCAGAGACCGAUAGCGCACAAGUAGAGUGAUCGAAAGAUGAAAAGCACUUUGAAAAGAGGGUUAAAUAGUACGUGAAAUUGUUGAAAGGGAAGCGCUUGUGACCAGACUUGAGCCCGGUUAAUCAUCCAGCCUUCUGGCUGGUGCACUUGGCCGGCUCAGGCCAGCAUCAGUUCGGCGCGGGGGAUAAAUGCCUUGGGAAUGUGGCUCCUCCGGGAGUGUUAUAGCCCUUGGUACAAUACCCUGUGCUGGACUGAGGUUCGCGCAUCUGCAAGGAUGCUGGCGUAAUGGUCAUCAGCGACCCCGUCUUGAAAACACCGGAACCCAAGGGAGAAAUUCACCCUAAGUUGCAGGG